rnacentral:rRNA from 1 species
UACGUAGGUGGCAAGCGUUGUCCGGAUUUACUGGGUGUAAAGGGCGCGUAGGCGGGAGAGCAAGUCAGAUGUGAAAUGUGGGGGCUUAACCCUCAAGCUGCAUUUGAAACUGUUCUUCUUGAGUAUCGGAGAGGCAGGCGGAAUUCCUAGUGUAGCGGUGAAAUGCGUAGAUAUUAGGAGGAACACCAGUGGCGAAGGCGGCCUGCUGGACGACAACUGACGCUGAGGCGCGAAAGCGUGGGGAGCAAACAGG